rnacentral:piRNA from 1 species
UUGGAGACUCAACUUACAGUGUACUUACUAU